GUGGCGGUCGUGUCAGUGGCGGUCGUGUCAGCAAAACUAAGACAAGACGGUUCUGCCAAGUUCUUUGAGGAAGGCUCCAGCCCUCUCACUUCAGUAUCUUACCUAGUUAUUUUCUGAUGAUCUCAUUUGCUCUUUUGUAGCUUUGGCAACUACGUGUGUCUUCUAUAUCUGUUUGCUUCUCUCCCUGUAGGCUUUACAGACUCUCUCCACCUCUUGCCUGCAACUCUUCUAAUUUGGUGUACCCUGUGCACACAACCCAUGUGGAAUUCUGGGUCUUCAGAAGCGUUUGGAACUGCUGCUCUGCGGUUAAGAACGCAGAGUUCAUCUCAUCCUAUGCUGCCCUUCAGUCCCUUGACUUUUUGGCCCUGACGGAGACAUGGGUCACCCCAGAGAACACUUCUUCUCCAGCUGCACUCUCUUCAUCCAACUACGUUUUCUCUCGUACUCCAAGAGCAUCUGUUCGUUGUGAUGAUGGUUCAGAUCUAUCCGCUACCUUCAACACCAUGAACCAUCAGAUCCUCCUCUCAGGGCUGGGCGUCUCAGGCUCUGCAAAAUCUUGGAUUGCAUCCUACCUGGCAGGCUGCUCCUACCAGAUAUCUUAUCUUGGAUGUCAGCCCACCACCUCAAGCUCAACAAGAUGGAGCUGCUCUUCCUCUCAGGGAAGGCCUUGCUGCUCAAAGAACUCUCCAUCAUGGUUGACAACGCCACAGUGUCGCCCUCCCAGAGUGCCAAGAACCUUGUACAACACCCUGUUAUUCUCAGCAAACAUCAAAGCAGUGACUCACUCCUGCAGGUUCAUGCUCUACAACAUCCGUAGAGUACAACCCUACCUCACACAGGAAGCGGUACAGGUCCAAAUCCAGGCACUUGUCAUCGCCCGUCUGGACUACUGCAAUUCGCUGUUGCCUGGGCUCGCCGCUUGUGCCAUCAAACCCCUGCAAUUCAAGAACGCUGCAGCCUGCCUGGUUUUCAACCUUACCAGGUUCUCCCAUGUCACCUUGUUUCUCUGCACACUCCACUGGCCUCCAGUCGAAGCUCGCAUCCAUUGCAAGACCAUGGUGCUUGCCUAAGGAGCGGCAAGAGGAACUGCCCCUCCCUACAUUCAGACUAUGCUCAAACCCUGAAUAACCCGAACACUCCAUUCUGGUCUCUUAUCACCCCCCCUUUCUAGCUCUGACUUUAGUGAUAGCUAUUUUAUUGAGGAAAAUUUACUGUGAUAUGUGGUUGUCCCACCUAGUCGCUCCGGAUAACAGCGUCUGCCUAAAUGACAAAAAUUUAGUUAUUUACUCCGUUCUAUCAAUUUUGUCACAAGGUGUGUUAGCAAGAGAGAAAGGAAACACAUGCUCUGUGUUUUUCCCAUAAACUCUCCUAUCCUUUGUGAGGCGACGGGGACUGGGCUGACUGUUGACUGGCUGCUAGUGAUGACUGAAUGCUGAACAAUGGAGGACUGAAAUAGUCAAGACCUGGCAACUCUCUUCCGUAUCCACGAUCCAUCAUGUCUGUCACAUCUGGCCGGCUUGUGGACCUUCGUUCCAGCUGUCCUGGAUCCACAACUGUCACCUUUUGAAUGUAGACCCCUCUGUCUUUCUGUACAUAUGAAGGAUGGACGUGUGUGUGUGUGUGUGUGUGUGUGUGUGUGUGUGUCGGAGUCAAGGUUCGUUAGCAUUAUGCUCAACCUUUAUUCAGCUUUCACCAUCAAGAUGAAUGCACAGUUACUUAUACAACCGUUUCGUGUGUACAUUGACUACAUUGUGUGUUUAUUGUAUUUGACAGUCCAAGUAAAUCCUAUCCAUAUGACCCCCCUAUCUGCAGUAUACACAUAGCUAAAUCCCCGGCUUACAUCAAGUAACGGAAACAGAUCUGUAUCUCAGGGACGGGUGGAGUUGCGCUGAACCCUAUUCUAUACUGUAUGAGAGAGAGGAGAGCUGCAACCCAGGACUGCGAGGACGGGCCACGGGUGUUUGUUUAAUCUAGGCAUCUGAGGGAGAGGCAGGCAGGGAGGUUGAAUGGGACCGUCUGUGCUGUUGUCAAUCUACAGUGAUUAGAGAGCCAGUGAAAACAUGUAGGAAAUGCAGCUGUCAUGUGGCAUGACCUUUGAGCCGGAGUUCAGACCAGAGCCUUAGUGACUGGUUAAUGAAGGACUGGUUCGUGUGUUGCUUAGCCACCUGGGGUCGUUAUUGGUGUGUUAGGCAUGGACAUUACCCUUGGUAUGGUGAAAGGUGCACUCUGUACGAUUGAGGGAUGCUUUUUGCUCAUCGUCUACAGAAAUGUAUCACUGAAAUUUGAACAACAAUAUGCAUAAAAUGUCGGACAGCUCAGAUUUAUUUUCUCCACAACAAAUGUUACAUUUGUACUGCUUUGGGAGUGUUGCCUCAACUGCUACAUUCUGAGCAGAGCAACGUCUUCGGAACUUGGAUUUCAGCAGGUAGACAGACAUCUGACAGAAAUCAUCUUUAAACACCGUACCCCUACAACACAGACAACAUUCAACCUUUUGACCUAUGUCUUGCUCAUGACAUCCGCCUGUGGGUGUGAGAACUAUGUACUAAUCCCAGUAUGAACACAGGACUUGGCAGGACUGGUAAUGAGAGGAACAACAGAAGUGUACCAUUUAGAGUUCAAGGUGAGUGUCUUGGACUGACUCCAUGUCAGUUGUAAAGACUAGGAAACUUUAUCCAGUACAUUCUACAUCUUUCUAGUUCUCUGUGGGAUGGUCUUUCAGUGUGUGUUUUCUCCUCUGUGUCCACACGCUUGUUCCAGCUUUUCUGUAACACUGUGAACUUAGAGGCCCAGCUAGCUGUCAGAUAGCAGAGCCUGUGCAAUCCAUCUCCACACAGUCUCUUCAAAGAGAACAGACAGGCGCCAUCUUACCAUUUGUCAUGGGGUUUAUACACAAUGUGAAACAUCUCAGUGAGUGUACAGAGAGAAGAUAACAUUCACAGCUCCCCUAACUUUAUGGGUCAGGAGAAGGAAACUAAUCGGAGAGUUUGAUGCUCUGACUGAAUGAUGGCAGAUGCUACUUUUAGCUCCACCACGAAACAGGCGGGAAGCUCCAACCGAUGGGAAUUCCAUGAUCUGCAACAAUUGUUCCACAUCCCUGUGGCCCCUCACUGGAUCCCGUGUGGAGAGGUGAUGUAAGCCAAUGCCCAAAUGGAUUUCCCAGGUCAUCUUGACCUGUCUGUCUGGCAUUGGCUGGGGCAGUGAUAUUCUCUCCCAAUUACUCUCCUGGUUGGCUUGACCUGCGUGUACCAGAAGUAGAGAGGUUUCAGAAUUUCAGCCAUGGUGUGCUGAAUUCGCUCAGUCGACCAUAUUACCCAGCACACCACCCUUCACGGCGGCCCUGUGGGUACUAACAGGAAGGGGUGAGCGCCUGCCACACACCACGCCAGCUACACAUCUGUAAACAUUUGCAGACGAAUGGGCUGCUGUCGCCGAUGCUAUCACGAGAACAUUAGCUACAUUAGACUGGACAAGAGGAAGGGGAUGAUUGUAAUGGAUGGGGUUACUGGGUGACUAGCUGACCAAUAGGGAGACAGCAGAUGUUGUUUGGGUACAAAUUCAUUGUAAUUAGGCAUUUUUGAAGUUUAUUUGAGUGUAAUCAUGAACUCUUACAUGUUCUGUGUUGUAUUGCAAUGAAGGACAUCAGGUCAGAAUGGUGCCUCCUCCUGCUGAAUGAAUAGCAUAAUUGGAAUCUAAUUUCAAAGGGAUCUGGUCAAAUCUGUUAUCGUUUUAUCCAAAAUAGGUAAUAAAAGGAGGAAACCUUGGAAUACAGGACCUUGGAAUACUAUCCAAUCUGGCAUGAGACUGGAAUGUGAAGGGAUUGUUCAGGUUCUCACAACUGCUUAUAAGCUUCUUAUCAGUUGCUGUUCUUAGCAUAGGUCUCUGUCAGUUAUAAUGGUAUUUGGCAUAAGUCUCUGUCGAUGAUAGCCAUAGGGGGGUUUGAUCUAGCAAGAAGGACAACAAGAAUGUUUGGAAAACUACUGGUUAUCUGCCUUUUUAUUCAGUAUUUUUACUUUUGUUUUGCCACUCAAAAGUACAUUAAUACAAACUAUUGACCAUUUUGAUCAUAUGACAGAGUUAAGAAGUAAUAAUACAGAGUUUUUUUAAAAUAAGUAAGCCUCCAACCUCCCAUCCAUGUCUCCAUCCAACCUUUCCUUGCUACAUUGUUGGGGAAGUGUAAUAAUGUGACACGAAAUAUUCCGGGUUAUGGUUUUUAGGUCAAAUGAACUUCUUCAGAUGUUCUUGAUCUUCUAUCUCUCUCUCGCACAUGCUUCCAUU